CCUACGGGUGGCAGCAGGGAGGAAUAUUGGUCAAUGGGCGCGAGCCUGAACCAGCCAAGUAGCGUGAAGGAUGACUGCCCUACGGGUUGUAAACUUCUUUUAUAAAGGAAUAAAGUGAGGCACGUGUGCCUUUUUGUCUGUACUUUAUGAAUAAGGAUCGGCUACCUCCGUGCCAGCAGCCGCGGUACUACGGAGGAUCCGCGCGUUAUCCGGAUUUAUUGGGUUUUAAGGGAGCGUAGAGGGGUUGUUUAGUCAGUCGGGAAAGGUUGGGGUCCCACCGUAGGAUGGCAAUUGACACUGGCGGGCUGGAGUUGAGUGGAGGUAGGCGGAAUUCGCGGUGUAGCGGUGAAAUGCUUAGAUAUCACGAAGAACCCCGAUUGCGAAGGCAGCUUACCAACUCCACACUGACGCUGAUGCACGAAAGUGUGGGUAUCAAACAGGAUUAGAUACCCCAGUAGUC
rnacentral:rRNA from 1 species